rnacentral:lncRNA from 1 species
UUUCAUAUACCUCAGAUUCUCACAAACGGCGAUUAGGGUUUCCCCCCUCUCUCUCUUCGCCUCCUAAAAAUCUUCAACAUCGCACCUGCAGUGAUAAGAGUAUUGCAACCACAAUCUUCAUUCGCAUCUUAGGGUUUUUACGUCUUCAAUGUUACAUCUCCCUAUCAUCCAUCCAUGAAAGAUCUUCAUCACCAGUCUCGCUUCAUCCUCAUCAGCAGCAUCGUACCCGGGAUCAACAAACUCCCAUAAAUCAUGAGACCAAAGAAAAGUCUUGACUAGUAUGCUCCAAAAUUCAUAGCCUUUCCCUUGGAUCACCAAAAAUUAAGCAACAACAUUACUUGGCAGAACAGUAGUCAUGAUAAUAGGUCUUCAUCCCACACUC